rnacentral:lncRNA from 1 species
GGGGUGUAGUUCAAGGAGAGCUCACUCACCCAGUAUAUGCAAAGGUCUGAGUUAAUUCCCAGCACCACAAAAAACAUCAUAGAGAAUAACUAAAGGGUUAAGAGGGUUGCAAAAACUAGAGAAUCCUGUGUAUUAACAGAAACAUGAUUGAAAAGCUGAAGCCAGGAUGCUGAGAAGUUUUGAUGGAAAUAUUCAGUCAACAGCCUUGUGGGCAUCACUGUCCUUGUGAUCAGAGAGCCCAGACUCCCGGCCUAAGGAAGCAGCUCCUUCUCAGUUCCAGCUGGC